rnacentral:rRNA from 1 species
UGCAAGUCGAACGGCAGCGCGGGGGCUUCGGUCUCUGGCGGCGAGUGGCGGACGGGUGAGUAAUAUAUGGGAACGCGCCCGGCGGCGGGGGAUAACUCUGGGAAACCAGAGCUAAUACCGCAUGCGUUUCGCCUUUCGGGGCGAAAGAAAGCGGGGGACUUCUUCGGAGGCCUCGCACCGGCGGAGCGGCCCAUAUCCGAUUAGCUUGUUGGCGGGGUAACAGCCCACCAAGGCCGCGAUCGGUAGCUGGUCUGAGAGGACGGACAGCCACACCGGGACUGAGACACGGCCCGGACUCCUACGGGAGGCAGCAGUGGGGAAUAUUGGACAAUGGGGGCAACCCUGAUCCAGCAAUGCCGCGUGUGUGAAGAAGGCCUUCGGGUUGUAAAGCACUUUCGCGGGGGAAGAAAAAGCGAGGGGUAAUAUCUCUCGCGCCUGACGGUACCCCGAGAAGAAGCACCGGCUAACUACGUGCCAGCAGCCGCGGUAAUACGUAGGGUGCGAGCGUUAAUCGGAAUUACUGGGCGUAAAGCGUGCGCAGGCGGCCUGUCAAGUCGGGUGUGAAAUCCCCGGGCUCAACCCGGGAAUUGCGCUUGAAACCGGCGGGCUAGAGUACGGCAGAGGAAGGUGGAAUUCCGUGUGUAGCGGUGAAAUGCGUAGAUAUACGGAAGAACACUCAUGGCGAAGGCAUCCUUCUGGGCCGUAACUGACGCUCAUGCACGAAAGCGUGGGGGAGCAAACAGGAAU